rnacentral:tRNA from 1 species
GAGGCUUUAGCUUAAUUAAAGUGUCUGUUUUGCAUAUAGAAGAUGUGAGUUAAUGUCUUGCAAGCCUUA